rnacentral:rRNA from 1 species
CCUACGGGUGGCUGCAGUGGGGAAUAUUGCGCAAUGGGGGAAACCCUGACGCAGCAACGCCGCGUGAAGGAUGAAGGUUUUCGGAUCGUAAACUUCUUUGAUGGGGGACGAAUAAUGACGGUACCCCAAAAACAAGCCACGGCUAACUACGUGCCAGCAGCCGCGGUAAUACGUAGGUGGCGAGCGUUGUCCGGAAUUACUGGGUGUAAAGGGCGUGUAGGCGGGAAUGCAAGUCAGAUGUGAAAUACCGUGGCUUAACCACGGGGCUGCAUCUGAAACUGUGUUUCUUGAGUGUCGGAGAGGAAAGUGGAAUUCCCAGUGUAGCGGUGAAAUGCGUAGAUAUUGGGAGGAACACCAGUGGCGAAGGCGACUUUCUGGACGAUAACUGACGCUGAGGCGCGAAAGCGUGGGGAGCAAACAGGAUUAGAUACCCCUGUAGUC